UACGUAGGGUGCGAGCGUUAAUCGGAAUUACUGGGCGUAAAGCGUGCGCAGGCGGUUCGCCAAGUCAGGUGUGAAAUCCCCGGGCUUAACCUGGGAAUUGCGCUUGAAACUAGCGGGCUUGAGUGUGGCAGAGGGGUUGGAAUUCCACGUGUAGCAGUGAAAUGCGUAGAGAUGUGGAGGAACACCGAUGGCGAAGGCAGCCCCCUGGGUCAACACUGACGCUCAUGCACGAAAGCGUGGGGAGCAAACAGG
rnacentral:rRNA from 1 species